rnacentral:lncRNA from 1 species
AAGGUAAUUAUAUAUAUAGAAAACGAUUUUCGUGAGAUAUCAUCAAUGGGAUAUUUUAUGAGGUUUUAAUCUCGCUAUUUACGUAAUUUUUAUUUACAUAAUCUAAGAUGAUAUAUUAUACAAGCUUUUUCAGACGAUCAAGCGGCCUUCAUGCGCUAGGCGGGUUAGGCGGAUCCGGUUGGAUCCGCUAACCCAUUUACCCAAUAAAUUAAAUGAAAAAUGAGGAAAUACGGUAGGUUUUAAAACUCCCCUCAUUUUUCUCCAAUUUUCUUCUCCUUUCUUUCAAAUUUGCAGCCACCCUCCCACCUCAUUUUCAGGCCCUUUCCUCCACCUCCGACCACCUCCACCUCCGACGACUGGCUAGGACAUACGGCGACAACCUUUGGCGAACCUCGAACGUGACUCCGACGAACUCCGGCGAACACAUUUAUGCGACGUCUAGGCUCUCUAACCGUUCAUGCGACUAGAUCCAUCUCAUGAACGUCGACUGGCCGCAUGUAAAGGCUUGAUAUUAUGUAACUAUGGAAUAACUAAUAUUAGAUAAGCUCUUUUCUAUUUCAAAGUAUAUAAUUAAUGGUUUUAAUUUGAAUUUGUGUUUUUUGAAACGUAGAUCGGAUUCACAACCGAAGGGAAAGAAGAAUCACAUAUCAAGAUCGAGAACCCUAAUGUGGUUGAGAUGGUUCAAAAAUGGUACCUUGGAGGAGAACGAGCUAUCUCUCCGACAACCAUCACUUCACUCACCGAGACGUUUGCCGGAAUGCUCCAGUAGUAUUCUUAAUAAAACUAUUUUGUUUUCCUAAAUAAUAAAUAGUGUUCUUAAUAAAACUAUUUUGUCUUCCUAAAUAAUGAAUAGUGUUCUUAAUAAAACUAUUUUGAUUGAUCAAUAAGUAAUAAAUGGAUAGACAAAUGAAUAUUAUUAAUAAUAUUGUUGCAAUAAAUGAAGUUUCAUUUGCUGAAUAAUUGGAUUGUAUAUUAUUUGUUGCAAUAAAUAAAAUGAUUAUGACACUGAAAUGGAAAUUGCACUCUCAGCGUCAACCAAUGAAUGCCGACAAUUAGGGCAAGAGGAGAUGAAGGAGAGCCAGGUAUCUACACAAUGACGGUGGAAACCGUGGUUGCACUCCGGCAGAAUACGAAUUAUAUCACCAUUUUCGAAAUCUCCAAGACAUAUUGCGCAAGUAUCAAUGGUCGGCAGAAUGUCUGCAUCAAAACUAAAUACUUUCACAGGGAUCUUCCUCAAUAUUUGCUCAUCUAACCUGGUUUCGACGACCCUCAUGGUUGUCUGUUCUGGGGUCCGACGUCGGAAAUUAAUUAUUCUAUGCCAAUAUCGGGUCACCAGGCAAACGAUGAAAUGGAAUGUAAAUGUAACAACUAUGAAGAAUGAUACUACUUCCAAGAUAGACAACAAGAGUUUUUUUGUUGUUAGAUCUCCGUAAGAACUGGAAUGAUCUAUAUAUUGCGGUGGUACCGAUGAUAUCGACGACAUGUAUGCAGAAGAGUCCGAUAGAUAACCUCUGGCAGCAUCGAUGGAAUUCGAAUUCAUAUUGGUUUAAUAUUCUUUCUGCAAAUAAGAGGAAAAUAUAUAAAGUAUGAAAGAGGACUAGAUCCGGAUAUUUUCAUGAAUCUGACCUAGCCUGAGUCCGAAUCUAGGUAUUUUCCUUAUGGACACAAACUUAGUCCAGACCGGAAUCCGGAUCAAUCUAGACCGGACCCAUUUAUAUCAAAGGAUACAUGUUUCAAUUUAAAAAGACGAGUGAAAAUUUAUUUUAAUAUACUUGAAAUUAAUUCAACUUACAAUAAACAAAUAUGUUAAAUCACCCUUCACUUUUUAGAAGAAUUCCCCUUUUUGUUGCCGCUUGCUUAGUGUCAACAAAUCGUUCGCGCGCAAUAUGGGGUAUGCUACAAUUCCAGAAUUCAGUGAGGGAUCGCUUGGUGGAAGUCGAUCGAUAUAAAGAAAAGGAACUUGAUAAGCUCGAUCACCGACUUCUUCCAAUUCAAAUCCAAUCUAUACCACCAAAGUAAUUAAGUAUAUAUAGGAAAUGAUAUUCUCGUGAAAUCAAUAUCAUCCUCAGGUAUCCUUUGAGAUAUCAUCCAUGUGAUAUCAUCCGUGAAACAUUAUCCAUCAGUUUUUUUUUGUCUUUUGAAAAUCACAUCGCAAGGUCACGUACAUCAAAUAUCUAGUUUUUGAUAUUUCGUCUUAAAUUAGUCAUUUACUUUAAUUAGGCGAACUAAAUAUUAAUCACAUAUAUGAAAGUUGUCGAUGGUUUAAAUAAGAUUCUAAUCUCGCUGUGUGUGUAAUUUCCAUUUACGUAAUUAAUAUUUGGAAAAGAUGAAUCACAUAUCCAGAUUGAGAACUCUAAUGUGGCUGAGAUGAUUCAAAAAUGAUACCUUGGAGGAGAGCGCACGAGCUAUCUCUCUGACAACCAUCAAACAUUAGGAUAAAACCUUAGGUAUAAAUGGUUUUUUCUACCGACUGAUCACAUUCCCUCUCUGCUUGCUCUUGAUCUAUUCUUCAGGAACCCUAGCUUUGCUCUCAGCAUCUUGUUCAAAUUUUGUUCUUUUUUUUAUCUUCACUCAUUGUUCGUAUCAAUAAUAAAACUAAAUCCUAAAACUUUGGCUCUGCGCAAAACCGACCAAUAUGUGUGUCAUUCCUAUUUUCCCACCUCCUUCUAUCGCUAGUAGAUCUGGAAAUCAACAUAGGGUUUACGAAAUCUUCAAUGCACAACGUAAAAAUGAUUAUGAAACUGAGAUGGAAAUCGUUUAAAAUUAUAGUGUUUGAUUUGUUCGUUAAAAAACAAACCAAAUCGAAUACCUUAAGCUCGAUUCGUUUAAUAUUUAAUUAUUUAAAUAUGCAUUUUAAAUUUUAAUGUAUUUAUUGUGUUAAAAUACAUUUCACUAAUCACACUUAUUAAUCACUUUUAGAUAUAUUGUAUUAUUAUUUUUGUUUAAUAUUAAUUUAGCUUCAGCCCCAGUACUUAUUGGCCCAUUAGCUGUAUGUAUAAAUUGUAAACUUGAUCUAUUAUUUUCUAAACAAGUUGUUUAUUCCAAUCGUUUGGCAUCCCGUCGAUUCACCCAAAACCCAGGGUUUGCACUUAGGAUUUGCUCUCAUCUCUGAUCGCCACUCCGUGCUUCUCACGAUCCUCUUCUACAUUUGCUUGAAUCGAAUCUAAACUUCAUCAUGGUAUCAGAGCGUGAGCACUCUGUGAUUUUAUAAUAAUAUUUUGCUGUCUUUUCAUGCCAUCUUCUGUUGCGACGGCUUCACUGUGCUAUCUUCUUUACCUGAAGGAAAAUCCCUGCAGCUCGUCGGCCAAAGAGUCCAUUCGAAUUAGCUAACGAUGCAAAAGAGUCCAUUCGAAUUUUACAGGAAAUGAUUCGAUUCUUGUGAGAUUGAAGUAAUAUCUGUUUGGUUUGGUUUUAAUUAAUUGUUAGGUAUCACCGACAUCGAAAUUCAUUUCCUUCAAAUUAAAUUAAUGAAAUUUGAGUGUACUUGGAGAAAGACCAAAUUAUGAAAUACUUGGAUCAGUGGAGGGGUAAGACUAAGAAGGAGCUCUCUGGAUAUGAGCUUUUUUAUGAGGCUAUCGUCGCGUGUAAGUGAACUCGAUCGAUCGACCUAAUUAUGUAAUUAAUACUUAAUUCUAUGAUUUAAAUAUUGUGUUAAUUUUAGGUUCUUUGGAGAAGGCGUUGAAGGUUGUUGUGAUUAAGGAGAUCGAGGGUUCGCAAUAUGGGGUACAACUCCAGAAUUCAGUGAGAGGUCGCUUGGUGGAAGUCGACUGGUAUGAAGAAGAGGAACUUGAUAAGCUCACCGACUUCUUCCAAUCCAAAUACAUGAAAAAAGAUUCGGUCAUUCCGUUUUCAUUUCACGGACCAACUAAAACGGCCAAGGUAAUAUAUAUAUAGGAAACGAUUCUUGUGUGAUUUUAUCCAUAAGAUAUUUUAUAAGGUUUUAAUUUCGUUGUGUACGUAAUUUUCAUUUACAUAAUCUAAGAUGAUAUAAUAUUAUGCAAACUUUUUCAGGCGAUCAAAUGGCCUAGCGCAUGUAGGCUUCAUGCGCUAAGUGGGUUAGGCGGAUCCGAUUACCCAAUAAAUUAAAUAAAAAAAAAGAGGAAAUAGGGUUUUAAAAUUAUAACCUCUCAUUUUUCUCCCAUUUUCUUCUCCUUUCUUUCAAAUUUGCAGUUACCCUCCCACCUCUUUUUCAGGCCCUUUCCUCCAUCUCCGACCACCUCCGGCGACCGACUAGGACAGACGGCGACCACCUUCAGCGAACCUCGAAUGUGACUCCGACGAACACAUUUAUGCGGCGUAUAGGCUCCUUAAGCAUUCGUGCUACUAGAUCCAUCUCAUGAACGUCUGGCCGCAUGUAAAAGCUUGAUAUUAUGUAACUCUGGAAUACCUAAUAUUAGAUAAGCUCUUUUCUAUUUCAAAGUAUAUAAUUAAUGGUUUUAAUUUGAAUUUGAGUUUUUUGAAACGUAGAUCGGAUUCACAACCGAAGAGAAAGAAGAAUCAUAAUUUGGUUGAGAUGGUUCAAAAAUGGUACCUUGGAGGAGAACGAGCUAUAUCUCCGACAACCAUCACUUCACUCAUCGAGA